UCACUGCUUGCGCAGGCAGUCUCACUAGAGUCCCCGGCUUGACCCGCUGGUAACUAGUGAUAGGGGUUGCGUUCGUUGCGGGACUUAACCCAACAUCUCACGACACGAACUGACGACAGCCAUGCAGCACCUCGCUAAAGGCCCUUUCGGGAAGUCCCCUUUCAAGGACGGUCCUCUAGCGUUCGAGCCCAGGUAAGGUUCCUCGCGUUGCAUCGAAUUAAGCCACAUGCUCCACCGCUUGUGCGGGCCCCCGUCAAUUCCUUUGAGUUUCACCCUUGCGAGCGUACUCCCCAGGUGGGAUACUUAUCGCGUUAGCUUAGGCGCUGCACCCAUACGGAUGCAACACCGAGUAUCCAUCGUUUAGGGCGUGGACUAC
rnacentral:misc_RNA from 1 species